UACGGAGGGUGCAAGCGUUAUCCGGAUUCACUGGGUUUAAAGGGUGCGUAGGCGGAUUCUUAAGUCCGUGGUGAAAUCUCCAAGCUUAACUUGGAAACUGCCAUGGAUACUAUUAGUCUUGAAUGUUGUGGAGGUUAGCGGAAUAUGUCAUGUAGCGGUGAAAUGCAUAGAUAUGACAUAGAACACCAAUUGCGAAGGCAGCUGGCUACACAAAUAUUGACGCUGAGGCACGAAAGCGUGGGGAGCGAACAGG
rnacentral:rRNA from 1 species